ACCCAGCUGACGAGUCCCAAAUGGGACGAAACGCGCGUUCUGGAU
rnacentral:hammerhead_ribozyme from 1 species